GGGGAUGUAAAUGGUUUCGACAGUUAUAUAGAAAUGUAAAUAGCGAGUAGUGGAUGCUUACUUGGCCACUUAAAAAAUGUAAGAAAAAGAAUAAACGCUGAUAAUAACAAAUUAGCUUACGCAGCAUAGAGUCUGCGUACGUCUUGCUUAAAAGGCCUACGGUUUAAGAUAAGGCGAGGAAUAGUAGGAAACGAAAUUAUCUUUUUCCUUGAAGGUAAUGGGUAUUUUAAGGAUACUAAAUAAAAACAGUUUGUUUAUUAACUUUUUUAUUUAGGAAUUUAAUAAUAAACUGCACUCGGAGAAGUUUACAUGGAAAUAUCACUGGACAGGAGUUCGAAUCUCCUCAUCUCCACCA
rnacentral:tmRNA from 1 species